GUGGGGAAUCUUGCGCAAUGGGCGAAAGCCUGACGCAGCCAUGCCGCGUGUGUGAAGAAGGUCUUCGGAUUGUAAAGCACUUUAAGUUGGGAGGAAGGGCAGUAAGUUAAUACCUUGCUGUUUUGACGUUACCGACAGAAUAAGCACCGGCUAACUUCGUGCCAGCAGCCGCGGUAAUACGAAGGGUGCAAGCGUUAAUCGGAAUUACUGGGCGUAAAGCGCGCGUAGGUGGUUUUGUAAGUUGGAGGUGAAAUCCCCGGGCUCAACCUGGGAACUGCCUCCAAAACUGCAUGACUAGAGUACGGUAGAGGGUAGUGGAAUUUCCUGUGUAGCGGUGAAAUGCGUAGAUAUAGGAAGGAACACCAGUGGCGAAGGCGACUACCUGGACUGAUACUGACACUGAGGUGCGAAAGCGUGGGGAGCAAACAGGAUUAGAAACCCCAGUAGUCC
rnacentral:rRNA from 1 species